rnacentral:rRNA from 1 species
CCUACGGGUGGCAGCAGUGGGGAAUAUUGCACAAUGGGGGAAACUCUGAUGCAGCGACGCCGCGUGAGUGAUGAAGUAUUUCGGUAUGUAAAGCUCUGUCAGCAGGGAAGAAGGAAGACGGUACCUGCCGAAGAAGCUCCGGCUAACUACGUGCCAGCAGCCGCGGUAAUACGUAGGGGGCAAGCGUUAUCCGGAUUUACUGGGCGUAAAGGGAGCGUAGACGGCUGUGCAAGUCUGAAGUGAAAGCCCAGGGCUCAACCCUGGGACUGCUUUGGAAACUGUGGAGCUAGAGUGCUGGAGAGGUGAGUGGAACUCCAAGUGUAGCGGUGAAAUGCGUAGAUAUUAGGAGGAACACCAGUGGCGAAGGCGGCUCACUGGACAGUAACUGACGUUGAGGCUCGAAAGCGUGGGGAGCAAACAGGAUUAGAUACCCGAGUAGUC